rnacentral:lncRNA from 1 species
UGGAAUGCUGCAUCUAGCUUCCUAUUGCCAUUCGGAGUACUUGACCACACGUCAUACUUCAUGGAUUUGUGGACAUCAUCCUCGCUGUAGGACUUAAUGACAAAGAACUUUGCAUUUUCAUACUCAGUUUGGGAAUCUUGUAGGUUGUAUUUAUCUUUAUAUAAGUUAAGUCCCAGGUCUUCCUUCUUAACAGAAGAGUCCAAAGGGGCAGCCCUGUUUAAGGCCCUUGGACCACAAGUUAGUUCAGCAGAGGUUUCAAAGUCAACGUUGGAUUUCCUAUACCUAUCAUUUUGAUUCCA